GGGCCGGUAGCUCAGUUGGACGAGCAUCUGUUUAGUAUAGAAGGGUCCUAUGUUUGACUCCUAACCUGUCCA